AUGAUCAAAUCCUGGUCUGUUUUCUCCCCAGAACAUAGAGGUGAGGCUGGAGGCCUUUGCAGGGCACCUGACAUGCUUCAUCUGGCGUCCCCUGAGGAUUUCAUGUGGCUGACUGCUCGCCCAGACCACCGAAACAAGCUCAAGAUCUCCGAUGCCGGCACCUUCCCCGCGUCUCCUGCCAAGAAGAGGGACACCGAGGUUGUUUCCAUGCUGUCAAGCCCCAUCUCUACACUCUCGGCAUGCUGGUCAGUGGUCGCCACAAGCGACUACGGCUCCUCCAAUGAAGACCAGGAAGGCUGCCUUGAGGCUCACCUGUGGAUAGCUUGUUAG
rnacentral:rRNA from 1 species